AAAAAAAAAAAAAAAAGGCUCAGAAGCAGGACCGCUAACACUAGCCUGUAAGAGCAGCGUUGAGAGCACUAUGCACAUCAACUCCAAUUUGGGCUUCAGCUUUCUCCAGGUCAGUUGAGGCUGAGCUUAGCUUCUGGGUGAACUCUGCAAGUCCCUUCUGCACCAGGCUGGCAUCAAUUUGAUCAAGUGGCACAGCCUCAACAGCAAUUAUAUCUGCAAAAGAAUUUGCAUGGAUGAAUGCAAAGCCACUGCUAACAAAAUACUUUGUCACUUCAUUCCCUUCAUGCACAGAUAAUAACCCAGGUUUCAACUCUGCAAUUGUUGAUACGUGUCCAGGAAGAACACCCAUUUGCCCUGUAGUUGAUGGAAUUAUAACCAUGUCAACCUCUUUAUUGGACAACUCAGAAGCAUAGGGGAGCACGAAGCUAACGGUGAGUUUGGAAGGGAUAGCAGAGGGAGUAGGAGGGCGGGGCUGCAUGAAGGAGAGAGGGGUCUUGGGUGGCUCCAUGUUUGGGAUCACUUUCUUCCACGCUUCCACGAAGCUGGAGUCAGUGGUCUGAGGGGCCGGGAGAUCCGUCGAGAAGGGUCGAGCCCUGCAGCUAAGAAUGGGUCGGGCCAGGAGUCCGGUGGCUCGGCGCAGCAUUUUCAGAUAGUUGAGUCGCUCGGAUCUCGCAAGGUCGGAGUGGAGAAACGAGAGCGUUUGGAAUUGGCACUGGGCAGCAAAUGAGUGCUGAUGUGAUUGGUUAGUGAGACACUUGGGGCAUCU
rnacentral:misc_RNA from 1 species